rnacentral:rRNA from 1 species
GAUUGAACGCUGGCGGCAGGCCUAACACAUGCAAGUCGAGCGGAUGAAGGGAGCUUGCUCCUGGAUUCAGCGGCGGACGGGUGAGUAAUGCCUAGGAAUCUGCCUGGUAGUGGGGGAUAACGUCCGGAAACGGGCGCUAAUACCGCAUACGUCCUGAGGGAGAAAGUGGGGGAUCUUCGGACCUCACGCUAUCAGAUGAGCCUAGGUCGGAUUAGCUAGUUGGUGGGGUAAGGGCCUACCAAGGCGACGAUCCGUAACUGGUCUGAGAGGAUGAUCAGUCACACUGGAACUGAGACACGGUCCAGACUCCUACGGGAGGCAGCAGUGGGGAAUAUUGGACAAUGGGCGAAAGCCUGAUCCAGCCAUGCCGCGUGUGUGAAGAAGGUCUUCGGAUUGUAAAGCACUUUAAGUUGGGAGGAAGGGCAGUAAGUUAAUACCUUGCUGUUUUGACGUUACCAACAGAAUAAGCACCGGCUAACUUCGUG